AGAAUAUUAUUAGGUUAUUUGAUUAGGGGUUAUUAAUUAAAAUAAUAUUAGUGAAUAUUUUUUAGUAUAGUUUAUUGAAUUUAUUAAAUGAAUAAUAGUGGAGUAGUACUGUGAAGGAAGUUUGAAAUAAAUGAAAUAAUUAUUAGGAUAGAAGAAGAAUGGAAUUUGUACCUUGGGUAUCAGGGUUUAUUAAUUAAUAGUAAUGAUUUAUGAUUCUCGAAUUUAAAAGAGUAAAGGUAAUAUAGUAGUUAAUGUGUUAUUAUUAUUACUAAUGUUACUUUGGGGAUGAAAUGUUAAGCGUUUUUUAAGUUAUCUAGUUCUUCAAGAAGUGAAUUUAAUUCAUGUUAUUCGAAGUAAGAGUUUAAUUUUAAUUAAUGUUUUAUUUUUGAUAACAAAUGUAUAAGGGGAUAAGCUUUUGUAUAUGUAUUAUAAGUUCUUGAAUUUUUUAAGAGUAGUAGGCUUUAAAUUAGCUAUCGAUGAAAUAAUGUUAUAAGUUGUUUUGGGAUAAAAGUAUUUUUUAAAAAUUUUAAUUUGUUUAUUGAAGUAUUGUAUUGAAUAAAUUGAUAUAAGUAAUGAUGAUAAAAUAAGUAUAUUAGAGUUGUUAAUUUUAGUAUUUAUAGUAAUUUAUAUUAAGGAAUUAGGCAAAAUUAUUACUCGCCUGUUUAUCAAAAACAUCUCCUUUUGUAUGUGUAUAAGGUAGGGCCUGCCCACUGAAAGUUAUUUGAAGGGCCGCGGUAUUAUGACCGUGCAAAGGUAGCAUAAUCAUUAGUCUUUUAAUUGAGGGCUGGAAUGAAUGGUUUGACGAGGUAAUAACUGUCUCAGUAUAAGAAAUAGAAGUUAACUUUUAAGUUAAAAGGCUUAAAUUUUAGUGGAGGACGAGAAGACCCUAUAGAGCUUUAUAUAUAAUUUUUAGAUUUAUAUUUAGAGGUUUAUUAGAAUUUAGAUUGAUUAUAUUGUGUUGGGGUGACAUAAAGAUAGAAUUAACUCUUUAUUUUUAGAACAUUGAUGUAUGGGCUUUUGAUCCAUUUUUAGUGAUUGUAAGAUUAAGUUACCUUAGGGAUAACAGCGUAAUUUUUCUUGAGAGUUCAUAUCAACAGAGAAGAUUGCGACCUCGAUGUUGGAUUAAGGAAUAUAAUUAGAUGCAGCAGUUUAGUUAAUAGGUCUGUUCGACCUUUAAAUCCUUACAUGAUCUGAGUUCAGACCGGUGUGAGCCAGGUCGGUUUCUAUCCUCAUUGUUUUAUUAUAUUUUAGUACGAAAGGACCAAGUAUUGUAAAUAUUUUAUUUUAUUUGAAUAUUAGUA
rnacentral:rRNA from 2 species